rnacentral:lncRNA from 1 species
GCUCUUUUCGGGAGUGAGCGUGCGCUAGUUUCUCUUUCGUCUAGGUUUUGUAAGGAACGGUUUGUGAGUAGUGGUCGCCGAAUGGAACUCUCAGCUACAGAUCUACCUUCCUCCCGAGCUGAAGAGCUUUAGUCCUAAGGGUUUAACCCUUUCCCAUUUACCUUCUGACUCCAAUUUUGCAGGGCAUGUUGAGUCCGCUGCAUCUAGAGCCCCAACGGGUAGGAGUGUUGGUUGGUAAGCUGGGCAUCCGUGUAUCUGAGUUUCUUAGCAAUAAAGUGAAAUGCAAUCUUA